UAUAAAGAAAAGUAAUGUUACAAAUCUUAAAGUAAACCUUAAUCAAACCCUAGAUCUUAAACAAACUCUUAACAAACCUUAUAGCAAAAUGGAAUCUCAACAACUAAUGAUCAAAGCAUUGAUAUCAACUCAAAAUUUGCAUACUUCUUAAUAUCUUAAUUAGGAACAAGCACAAGAAAGAUGAAAUUGAUUGCACUUACUAAUUGAGAAAAAAUUUAAAUAAUUCAAUCGGGUGUUGGAUAGCUUCCUACUCCAACCUAAAUGCUAAACUUCCAGUGCUAAUAUCUCCUUCUUGAAUUGUUGAAUUGCUCUAAAAUUUCACUCAAACAUUGGAAAUCAAGUCUAGUAUCUAUACAAAAAAAAGAUUCACUUUAAUGUAAUUGACAAAUUGCUGAAGAUCUUAGAAACACUCACUAAUCUUCAAACUCCAAUUUUUGAGACUUCAAUCCACAAAAACUCUUAUAUGCUUUAAUCUAACCAUUCUAUGAAUUUCAAAAUUUGUAUAUAUAUUCACAACUAGUACACCAACACUUUGUUCAAAUUUCACCAUACCACAAAACACAAGAAAUCUUCAAAUUUGUAAACAUAUUUUUAUUUUUCAAAUCCUAAUCCUACUAAGAACAUUACUAACUUUGAAAAUCCCUCAAAAUCUCAAUAUUGAUUCAAAUGACAUGAAACCAAUGCUUAAAUAUUUUUUCUCAAGUUUGCUCUCAAAUACCACUCUUCAAUCUAUAAAAGAACCCUAGAGUCAUUCUAGGUAUGUGGUUUUGUGUCUCAGGGUCUGAUUUUGAUUUAGGUUGACAACUACUCCUCUUUGGGUAUUAAUUCUUGGCUUCUUGAGAUAAAUUUUGCUAAAACCUACUCUUAACUCCCUCCUACAUAUGCUUAUAUUAUUUAAUUUUCCAAUCCACUUUGUUUUGAAUUAUUUAUGGUUCUACAAAGUAAAUAGAAGUCUAUUUUGCAAAAAAGCAAUAUUAGCAUUCUUUAGUUUUACAAUCUUUUCAACUAUUAUCUAUAUUUCUAAGAUAAUAUGCUAAAAUAUUCUAAAAUAAGAUCUUCUACAAUAUAAUAUUUUCUUCUUUCUUUCAUUCAUUAGACAUAUUGCAUUACAACAAUAUGGAAUUAAUACUUUCAUAAUGGAUUAUAAUUGUGGUAUGUAGAUGCAACUAAUUAAAUUUUCUACUCAGUCAAUUAAGUGUAAUUAAUCAAAAAAAAUGUGGAAUUAUAUUGGCGUGCUUUUGAAGCAAGUUUCCUACUAUUAUUUGAUAUUUUUAUGCUUAUAUUUAUAAUAUUAUGCUAUUAUAUGCAUGAAUUAGAUAUUAUGCUCAUAUAUGUGUAUGUGGGUAGUCUAUGCUAACUUCAAAUUUGUAUAUACACUAGAUAUCUUGACUUUAUUUGUUAUUUUACUACACUUACUUGAAAUCAAAAGAUUAUGUGUUUUACAUAACUAUUUGAAGACCAACGUUACAGAUUUCCACAAGAUCUUUGGUUGUUAUCAUACCAAGAAUAUUUUCAUUCUAAAUUUUUACUAAAAGCACUUGAAUAUAAAACCAUAAUUUAGGCGUUUUGUUAAGCUUUUUAUAUUUCUUUGUUCUAAUUGAUUGGUAGGAAAUAUUCUAAAGAUAGGCAUUGAGGUAGGAUCCAUAGUAAUGCUUCUUAUCAAUUACCACCCUAAUCUCUAUACAAUUUGUUGGAAUUUUUGAUUUAUAUAAUUGUUGUACCAGUUUGUCUAUAUGGUGGAUUCAUUUCAUGAAUUUAUUACUAUCCAUUCAUCUUUCAAAUUUAUUUAUAGUUUCUUUGUUGAUCCAUGUGACAAUUUGUUUAUUUGUUUCUUUGUUGAUCGCUGUAGGGUUUGUUGUUUUGUGGCUUGAUACUUUACAAGACACACCAUGGCGGACUAAAGCUGUGACUGAGAACUCACCAUCAGCAGGGUAUUUGAAGAGGAUUGUAUGGGCAAGAGCAGAGGUGUAUGUGUGUUCUUUUUAUUGUUUCAGAUUUUUUAAUGUUUUUUUUGUUGAUCCAUGUGUUUCUUUGUUUUUAAUUUUUAUUGUUGUCUGUUUGUUGUUUGUUUGAUCAGCCAUUUACAAACUGAGUAAGGUUUGAAUCUGCAAAAAAAUCAUUUUGAUAAACCUAACAGCAACUUGCAACAACACCAGACUGUGGCAGAAAGGUCUUGCCACAAUCAACAUUUAUUAGAGCUAUGAAGACAAACAACAACCAAUGAUAAUAAACAACAAUACUAGAACAUAUGUGAGUCUUAAAUUCUAGAAGUUUUUUAAUUCUUGUGUAUUUUUUUGUUUUUGUUUAUUUUUUUAUGUGUAUGAAAUAUGUUAAUUCUUAAAUGGGAGCCAAUUUUUUAUUUGUCAUCUUUUGGCUUAUAUAUUUUUGUUUAAAAUAUUAAAAAACUUGUACCAUAAGGUUACUUUUUUUAAUUGUGCUACUAUAUAAACAAGUUCUUCAAUUUGCAAGUAUUGUUUCUUAUCAUUGUAGUGCUCAUCUUUAAUAUUGGUGAUGAUACUCUUGCAACACAAUAGACGAAGUUAUCACUAAGAUAAUAAGUGCUAUAUUUAUUACAAAUUUACUGCUAGAAAUAAAGACUUCCUAUGUAGUACAUUGUUCAAUUGAAUCAAUCUUUGAUAAUUCUUUGUCAAAGCCAAAGAAAUCUUUCUUUUGUUGUAGUGAUAUAUAGAGCAUUGAGAGUUAGAAGAUGUGUAGGAAUUCCAAACUAGCAGUAAGAAGAUGAAUGCAUAUAUAUCAUGUAGUUGGAAUAUAUAGGAUAUACGUAAAUAAAUGAGUGCAUAUGUAGUGCAUCAUUAUAUAAAGAAUAUAGAUCAUUUUGGUGCUGAAAGUUCAUCAUUAUUUUGGAACUUAUAUUGGUUGAUUAGACCUUUUAUAAUAAAACUAUAUGGUAUUUAUUAAGAAAAUUAUGCAUUGUAAUAAAAAAAAUAUAUAUAUAUAUAUAUAUUACAUGAUCAUAUCUAUUAUAAUCAAGUAUAUGUAAUAUCUAAGAUAUUUUUCAUAAAUCAUAGUAUUUUCUUGGAAAUAGUAUUUAAACAUAUCCAUUAUAUUCUUCCACAUCUACAAUCAAAGGACCUAAAAAUGUUAUUCUUCUAUAAUGAUGGUUUAUUUUGUUGGUGUGAUUUAAAUUGAAAAGACCAUAAGAAGGUUUCAUUAACAAACUUGAAUACAAAUAUAAAUAAUAGUGAUUUAGAAUUAUAAUUUAUAUAUUUUUAAUUAUGUGAUUUUUAAAAAAUUAUAACAAUAAUCCAUGUAUUAUUAUUAUUAUUAUUAUUAUUAUUAUUAUCAAAAGAUAUUAUUAUUAUUAUCAAAAGAUAUUAUUAUUAUUAAAAUAAUCUUAUUAUUAAAAGAUAUUAUUAUCAAAAGGUAUUAUCAAAUCAUUUUUU
rnacentral:lncRNA from 1 species